rnacentral:rRNA from 1 species
AGUGAACGCUGGCGGUAGGCCUAACACAUGCAAGUCGAACGGCAGCACAGUAAGAGCUUGCUCUUACGGGUGGCGAGUGGCGGACGGGUGAGGAAUACAUCGGAAUCUACUUUUUCGUGGGGGAUAACGUAGGGAAACUUACGCUAAUACCGCAUACGACCUACGGGUGAAAGCAGGGGAUCUUCGGACCUUGCGCGAUUGAAUGAGCCGAUGUCGGAUUAGCUAGUUGGCGGGGUAAAGGCCCACCAAGGCGACGAUCCGUAGCUGGUCUGAGAGGAUGGUCAGCCACACUGGAACUGAGACACGGUCCAGACUCCUACGGGAGGCAGCAGUGGGGAAUAUUGGACAAUGGGCGCAAGCCUGAUCCAGCCAUACCGCGUGGGUGAAGAAGGCCUUCGGGUUGUAAAGCCCUUUUGUUGGGAAAGAAAAGCAGCAGGUUAAUACCCCGCUGCUCUGACGGUACCCAAAGAAUAAGCACCGGCUAACUUCGUG